rnacentral:rRNA from 1 species
CCUACGGGUGGCGGCAGUCGAGAAUCAUUCACAAUGGGGGAAACCCUGAUGGUGCGACGCCGCGUGGGGGAAUGAAGGUCUUCGGAUUGUAAACCCCUGUCAUGUGGGAGCAAAUUAAAAAGAUAGUACCACAAGAGGAAGAGACGGCUAACUCUGUGCCAGCAGCCGCGGUAAUACAGAGGUCUCAAGCGUUGUUCGGAAUCACUGGGCGUAAGGCGUGCGUAGGCUGUUUCGUAAGUCGUGUGUGAAAGGCGCGGGCUCAACCCGCGGACGGCACAUGAUACUGCGAGACUAGAGUAAUGGAGGGGGAACCGGAAUUCUCGGUGUAGCAGUGAAAUGCGUAGAUAUCGAGAGGAACACUCGUGGCGAAGGCGGGUUCCUGGACAUUAACUGACGCUGAGGCACGAAGGCCAGGGGAGCGAAAGGGAUUAGAUACCCGGGUAGUC